CGUUAAGAGAUUGCCUCUGUCGUUACUUGCAAAUGCAAAUACGGGAAUGCAAUCGUCGA
rnacentral:ncRNA from 1 species